GCGCCUUUAGUUUACCAGAAUGUCGGUUUUGUAAGCCGAAGGGACAGGUUGAGUCUUGUAGGGUGUU
rnacentral:tRNA from 1 species